GCAGAGAUGGGUAGGGGGCUGUGGCCCUCAGAUUCUCGGGCAUCCGUCUUGGCAGUUGCUGGAGUUUGUCAUUCCAUCAGCAUCUUCUUCCUCCCGGGUUCUGCGAGCUUCAUCAGCUCGCCUUCAUUCUCACCCGGCUCAUCUCGUUCCGCAUUCUCUCGGUCCUUGCGGCCGUUCUUGUGGCCCAGAGUUUUGUCUCCCCGUUGUGUCCCCUCGUCUGUUGUCUUGUGUGUCACGGGUGUCUGGGUGUAGUUGUCCCGGAGCUGCUCUGUCCUGCUGCCCAGCCUGGGUGUAGGUGUAAAAGGCCGAGUCCUAGGCCCCUGUAAUUUGAAAUUUGUCAUGUAGGGUAUAGUUGGAGUCUAGCGGGUGUUCCUAGAUUGACACAAGAUGUGUGGCGCUGUGAAGUUACCCUGCAGCACUUUGACUUUUGUCUCAGCUUUCUUUCAGAUGCGGACGGAUGAAAUCGGUGGCAGAGCGCCCCAUCCAGGGUAAGGGGGUUCCCCCGAGAAGGAAGUGAAGCCGGCUAGCAGCAGUCAAGGCGAAGUGGGCAAGGCGGUCCAGUCGCAUUUCGCCGACACGUCCUCGCCAACCAACCGGCACGCCUGCUUCACCUCUCCCGUGAGCCCUGCGGAAACAUUACGGGACCGUGUGACGGAGCCUUUUCCACGUAAAGGGGCCGUGUGGGUGGCCUUCAGGAACGGGCCGAGGGGUUGCCGCGCGCCCUGCGAUGACGGCGUCCGGCUCCCGGUGUGGCCGAAGCGCGUGGCCUCAGGACGUGGCCGUGCUCAGGAGACC